GACGAACGCUGGCGGCGUGCCUAAUACAUGCAAGUUGAGCGAUGAAGAUUGGUGCUUGCACCAAUUUGAAGAGCAGCGAACGGGUGAGUAACGCGUGGGGAAUCUGCCUUUGAGCGGGGGACAACAUUUGGAAACGAAUGCUAGUACCGCAUAAUAACUUUAAACAUAAGUUUUAAGUUUGAAAGAUGCAAUUGCAUCACUCAAAGAUGAUCCCGCGUUGUAUUAGCUAGUUGGUGAGGUAAAGGCUCACCAAGGCGAUGAUACAUAGCCGACCUGAGAGGGUGAUCGGCCACAUUGGGACUGAGACACGGCCCAAACUCCUACGGGAGGCAGCAGUAGGGAAUCUUCGGCAAUGGACGAAAGUCUGACCGAGCAACGCCGCGUGAGUGAAGAAGGUUUUCGGAUCGUAAAACUCUGUUGGUAGAGAAGAACGUUGGUGAGAGUGGAAAGCUCAUCAAGUGACGGUAACUACCCAGAAAGGGACGGCUAACUACGUG
rnacentral:rRNA from 1 species